GCUGCAUCUGCAAAGAGGUACAGACUGAGAAUGUCCAGAAGGUGCCAUUUCCAGCUGUACUUCCUUGUGCUGGAAAAGAAGAAUUUCUGUGGAUGCUACGUGAAGGUGCCCACAUGGGCUUGCAUAUUCCAGACAAGAUCACUGAGAUUAUAACACUGGAAAUGAUUCUUGCUUCCUAUAUGAUCAGCUUCUGGAAGAUACAUUACCCAGCUUUACUUAUCAGUCAUGCAAGUAGCAUUGUUUAAAAAGUUGGUGUAAAAGAGCUUCUAGAAGCUAAUGAUCCUGUGGUUUAACCCUGGCCAACAACUAAGGACCACACAGCCACUUCCACUUCUCCCCUCUCCCCACCACUGCCAUGAGGGGAAGAGAAUUAGAAGGGUAAAAGUAAGAAGACUCUUGGGUUGAGAUAAAGACAGCUUAAUAGGGAAGGCAAAAGCUGUGCACACGCAGAGCACAAGGAAUUUGUUUCCUACUUCCCAUGAGCAGGCAGGUGUUCAGCCAUCUCCAGGAAAUCGUGGCUCCAGUGUGUGUGCUGAUUACGUGGGAAAACAGGUGCCAUCAUUUCAAAUGUCCUCCUGCUCCUUCUUUCCUCAGCUUCAUAGGCUGACCAUGAUGUCAGAUGAUAUGAAAUAUUCCUUUGGUCAGUUUAGGUCACCCCUGUCUCCUUGCUGGUGGGGAGGUGUGAGCAGUAGAAAAGGCUUUGGCUGGGUGUAAGCGCUGCUCAACAAAAACUGGAGCACCCCUGUAUUGCCACAGUGUUUUCAGUACAUAUCCAAAGCACAGCCCCAUACUAGCUACUGUGAAGAAAAUUCCCUCUAUCCCAGCUAAAACCAGCACAAAUUCCAGACUUUUCUCAAGCUGACUACUUGUGUGCCUGCUUCAGAGUGAUUAACUCGAUUAUUAUUUUUUUCCAUGAUUCUAUUAUCAUUUUGUUCUACAAGUAUAGCUUACUCUGAUUUCCUGUUGCAAAUCCUGUUUCCACUUACUGAUCAUCUCCAAGAAAAUAUGGAAUACAUGCCAUAAUCAAUCUCAGUACCCUAAUCAACAUCCAUUUAAAUGCAUCACAGGUUUUACGUCUGUCUCGACUUGCCAAUCUAACAGACAUAAUUUUGAUUUAUUAGAAAAGUCCUACAUACUGUUACUCUGUCAAUUAAAAAUAAAACUCCUGAAGUAGUCUGAAGAACAUGCAAGUUGAUAUUUAGCACUUAAAUUUUUAAA